rnacentral:rRNA from 1 species
CGGGGUGAGUAACGCGUGAGCAACCUGGCCUAUACAGGGGGAUAACAGGGAGAAAUUCCUGCUAAUACCGCAUAAGACCACAGUAUCGCAUGGUACUGGGGUCAAAGGAGAGAUUCGGUAUAGGAUGGGCUCGCGUCCCAUUAGCUAGUUGGGGGUGCAACGGACCACCAAGGCGACGAUGGGUAGCCGACCUGAGAGGGUGAUCGGCCACACUGGGACUGAGACACGGCCCAG